UACAGUCCAAGGCUCAGAAGGAGUGUUAGCCUAAAAGUUCGAUUUAUGGCUGAGAUAAUUAUGGUUUAUCAAACUUAUUUUAAGGUUAUAUGUAUACUAUUUGCUUAUGCAUAUGAAAUGUGGUUAUGAUUUAAGAAUUGUUGGUUGCUAAUUAUUACUUAUUACAUCCCUGUUGGUUUCAAGCUUACGUGAAUUUGAGCUUUUUUACUAUCCAAACUAAACAUACCAGCUUUGUUUUUGUUAUAAAAGUAAUUAUGUAUGGUUAUUGAUAUUUUGUGGUUGAUUUGAUAAUUUUGAGGUUUAUUUUUCAGGAUUUAGACUUGAUCGAGUUUUACCGCUGACUUUUGAAUCUAACAAGAGGAUUAAGUGAAAGAAAGAGCAAAAAGAGAUGCAGCAGCUGCUAGCAAUGGAGGGAAUACUCAUGGAAAGGAUUGUGUAUGAAGUGAUGGCCUCUUAUCGUAUUAGAAGUGAAUUUGAAUUGUGACAUAGAUAGCAGUGACUUGGUUCUGAAAUUGCAUAUGUUUGGUGGAUCUCAUCUCAAGUUAUCUGAGUUGUUUUCAGCAAAACUAAUUCAUCUCUGGUUGGAUCUAAGCUUGGUGUUCAAAGGAACUCAAACAUUGUGAGCAGAAGGAAGUUUUCAUCUGGUUGCUGGAACUGUUGGUUUAAUGAGUGUACCAGCCAUGGGAAUCUCAACGCAUUCGCAAGCCACAACUAAGAGUGUAUACAAUGCUGCCUUGGCCUUAGGAAUUGCAAAUCAGCUAACCAACAUACUCAGAGAUGUCGGAGAGGAUUAACUUAUUCACUUAAGAUCAUCCAAGAUGAACUGCGUUUGACAUCGAAAAUAACUGUAGAUGAUUGUUUUGUAGAUGAUUGUUUUGACAUUGAAAUGGCAGUUGGAAAGUCUCACAGUUUCAGGAUGUCGGAGUCUCUAAAGCCUUCACCGGCUAAGAAGCCUUGCAAAUAUCGAAGAUUUUCCUAGCCUUGCAAAUAUCGAAGCAGGGAAAAUCGUCAGGAAGAUCCUAUUCCAGUGAAGUUAUGGAACAAGAAAUUUGGAAAGAUUUUCCUGAAGAUUUAUUUGAGGCGGUAAUUGCACAGCUUCAUAUUGCCACUUUUUUCUGCUUCCGUUAUAUAUGUCGUGCAUGCAUCUGUCAUGCUCACUAAUUCUAGCUUUCGCAGUUUGCCCAACUUCCUUAAUUUUCCGAUUAUUCACAUUUAUAUUUCCACAUCACAACAGGAAUUCAAAUGGGUAAACUUUGAUAUAAACAUGUUGCUGAAGUUGCUGAAGGUUUUGAAGUCAUUGUUUUACAGAUUUGAG